rnacentral:misc_RNA from 1 species
AAGUCGUAACAAGGUUUCCGUAGGUGAACUAUAGAACUACCGCUCGAUUGUAACUGUUCCAAUGUUCGCACGUAGCCAGAGAUCUCUGAAUCACUACAACUUUCCGGGCUAUGAAUGUGAAGCUCAAUGUAAUACAUUGGGUAAAAAAACCGAACAACUGUUAACAAUGGAUAUCUUGGUUCUC